rnacentral:rRNA from 1 species
AGAGUUUGAUCCUGGCUCAGAACGAACGCUGGCGGCAUGCCUAACACAUGCAAGUCGAACGAGACCUUCGGGUCUAGUGGCGCACGGGUGCGUAACGCGUGGGAAUCUGCCCUUGGGUUCGGAAUAACAGCUAGAAAUGGCUGCUAAUACCGAAUAAUGACGUAAGUCCAAAGAUUUAUCGCCCAAGGAUGAGCCCGCGUAGGAUUAGCUAGUUGGUGAGGUAAAAGCUCACCAAGGCGACGAUCCUUAGCUGGUCUGAGAGGAUGAUCAGCCACACUGGGACUGAGACACGGCCCAGACUCCUACGGGAGGCAGCAGUGGGGAAUAUUGGACAAUGGGCGAAAGCCUGAUCCAGCAAUGCCGCGUGAGUGAUGAAGGCCUUAGGGUUGUAAA